rnacentral:rRNA from 1 species
AUUGAACGCUGGCGGCAGGCCUAACACAUGCAAGUCGAACGAGUGGCAGACGGGUGAGUAAUGUCUGGGAAACUGCCUGAUGGAGGGGGAUAACUACUGGAAAAGGUAGCUAAUACCGCAUACCAUCAGAUGUGCCCAGAUGGGAUUAGCUAGUAGGUGGGGUAAUGGCACACCUAGGCGACGAUCCCUAGCUGGUCUGAGAGGAUGACCAGCCACACUGGAACUGGGACCCGGUCCAGACUCCUACGGGAGGCAGCAGUGGGGAAUAUUGCACAAUGGGCGAAAUCCUGAUGCAGCCAUGCCGCGUGUGUGAAGAAGGCCUUCGGGUUGUAAAGCACUGUCAGCGAGGAGGCGUUACUCGCAGAAGAAGCACCGGCUAACUCCGUGCCAGCAGCCGCGGUAAUAC